rnacentral:tRNA from 1 species
GGUGGCUUAGUAGUAGAGCGCUUGCCUUGCAUGCAUGAGACCCUGGGUUCGAUUCCACAGCACCA